CCUACGGGAGGCAGCAGUGGGGAAUAUUGGACAAUGGGCGCAAGCCUGAUCCAGCAAUGCCGCGUGUGUGAAGAAGGUCUUCGGAUUGUAAAGCACUUUCGACGGGGACGAUGAUGACGGUACCCGUAGAAGAAGCCCCGGCUAACUUCGUGCCAGCAGCCGCGGUAAUACGAAGGGGGCUAGCGUUGCUCGGAAUGACUGGGCGUAAAGGGCGCGUAGGCGGAUUGUACAGUCAGAUGUGAAAUUCCCGGGCUCAACCUGGGGGCUGCAUUUGAUACGUGCGAUCUUGAGUUCGGAAGAGGGUCGUGGAAUUCCCAGUGUAGAGGUGAAAUUCGUAGAUAUUGGGAAGAACACCGGUGGCGAAGGCGGCGACCUGGUCCGAUACUGACGCUGAGGCGCGAAAGCGUGGGGAGCAAACAGGAUUAGAUACCCUGGUAGUCCACGCUGUAAACGAUGUGUGCUGGAUGUUGGGUGACAUAGUCACUCAGUGUCGUAGCUAACGCGAUAAGCACACCGCCUGGGGAGUACGGCCGCAAGGUUGAAACUCAAAUGAAUUGACGG
rnacentral:rRNA from 1 species